rnacentral:rRNA from 1 species
GAUGAACGCUGGCGGCGUGCCUAACACAUGCAAGUCGAACGGAAAGACACUGCUUUUGUGGGGUGCUCGAGUGCCGAAGGGGUGAGUAACACGUGUGUAUCAUGCCCUUGUCUUUCGGGUAACUUCACGAAACUGGGGCUACUAUAGGAUAGGAGCUCCUGCUCCAUGGUGGGCGGUGGAAAGUUUCGGCGGUUGGGGUUGGACUAGCGGCUUAUGAGCUUGUUGGUGGGGUAGUGGCUUACCCACGCUUGGACGGGUAGGCCGCCUGAGAGCGUGGACGGCGACCAUGGGACUGCGGGACGGCGCAGUCGCCUACGGGAGGCAACGGGGGGGAGUCUUGCACAGCGGGCCGGAGCCUGAUGCAGCGACGCUGCGUGCGUAAAGACGGCCUUCGGGUUGUAAACCGCUUUCGCCUGUGACGAAGCGUGAGUGACGGUAAUGAGUAAAUAAGCACCGGCUAACUACGUG